AACGCACGAGACCUGCGGACCUGCGGAGGGAUCAUUAAUGAGAAACUGCCCCUCGCGGGUAGAUCUCCCACCCUUUGUAAACUUACCUUUGUUGCUUUGGCAGGCCCGUCUCCGGACCGCCGGCUUCGGCUGGCCAGUGCCUGCCAGAGGAUUCUAAAACUCUGUCUGUCAGUGUUGUCUGAGUCUAUAUACAAUCGUUAAAACUUUUAACAACAGAUCUCUAGAUCGGAAGAGCACACG
rnacentral:misc_RNA from 1 species